rnacentral:rRNA from 1 species
AGACAGUGGCAAACGGGUGAGUAAUACGUAGGUAACCUGCCCCAAAGUGGGGAAUAAUUCGCCGAAAGGCGGACUAAUACCGCAUAAUGUAAUGGAGGUAAUGCUCCAUUAAGAAAGCCGUAAGGCGCUUUGGGAGGGGCCUGCGGCCGAUUAGCUAGUUGGUGAGGUAAAGGCCCACCAAGGCAGUGAUCGGUAGCUGGUCUGAGAGGAUGGUCAGCCACACUGGGACUGAGACACGGCCCAG